GGGUUGUGAGGUUAAGCGACUAAGCGUACACGGUGGAUGCCCUGGCAGUCAGAGGCGAUGAAGGACGUGCUAAUCUGCGAUAAGCGUCGGUAAGGUGAUAUGAACCGUUAUAACCGGCGAUUUCCGAAUGGGGAAACCCAGUGUGUUUCGACACACUAUCAUUAACUGAAUCCAUAGGUUAAUGAGGCGAACCGGGGGAACUGAAACAUCUAAGUACCCCGAGGAAAAGAAAUCAACCGAGAUUCCCCCAGUAGCGGCGAGCGAACGGGGAGGAGCCCAGAGCCUGAAUCAGUGUGUGUGUUAGUGGAAGCGUCUGGAAAGGCGCGCGAUACAGGGUGACAGCCCCGUACACAAAAAUGCACAUGCUGUGAGCUCGAUGAGUAGGGCGGGACACGUGGUAUCCUGUCUGAAUAUGGGGGGACCAUCCUCCAAGGCUAAAUACUCCUGACUGACCGAUAGUGAACCAGUACCGUGAGGGAAAGGCGAAAAGAACCCCGGCGAGGGGAGUGAAAAAGAACCUGAAACCGUGUACGUACAAGCAGUGGGAGCACGCUUAGGCGUGUGACUGCGUACCUUUUGUAUAAUGGGUCAGCGACUUAUAUUCUGUAGCAAGGUUAACCGAAUAGGGGAGCCGAAGGGAAACCGAGUCUUAACUGGGCGUUAAGUUGCAGGGUAUAGACCCGAAACCCGGUGAUCUAGCCAUGGGCAGGUUGAAGGUUGGGUAACACUAACUGGAGGACCGAACCGACUAAUGUUGAAAAAUUAGCGGAUGACUUGUGGCUGGGGGUGAAAGGCCAAUCAAACCGGGAGAUAGCUGGUUCUCCCCGAAAGCUAUUUAGGUAGCGCCUCGUGAAUUCAUCUCCGGGGGUAGAGCACUGUUUCGGCAAGGGGGUCAUCCCGA
rnacentral:rRNA from 1 species